rnacentral:rRNA from 1 species
AUUGAACGCUGGCGGCAUGCUUUACACAUGCAAGUCGAACGGUAACAGGCCGCAAGGUGCUGACGAGUGGCGAACGGGUGAGUAAUGCAUCGGAACGUGCCCAGUCGUGGGGGAUAACGCAGCGAAAGCUGCGCUAAUACCGCAUACGAUCUAUGGAUGAAAGCGGGGGACCGAAAGGCCUCGCGCGAUUGGAGCGGCCGAUGUCAGAUUAGGUAGUUGGUGGGGUAAAGGCUCACCAAGCCAACGAUCUGUAGCUGGUCUGAGAGGACGACCAGCCAAACUGGGACUGAGACACGGCCCAGACUCCUACGGGAGGCAGCAGUGGGGAAUUUUGGACAAUGGGCGCAAGCCUGAUCCAGCAAUGCCGCGUGCAGGAAGAAGGCCUUCGGGUUGUAAACUGCUUUUGUACGGAACGAAACGGUCCGGGUUAAUACCCUGGGCUAAUGACGGUACCGUAAGAAUAAGCACGGCUAACUACGUGCCAGCCGCCGCAGUAAGAC